UACAGAGGUCUCAAGCGUUUGUUCGGAUUCAUUGGGCGUAAAGGGUGCGUAGGCGGCGCGGUAAGUCGGGUGUGAAAUCUCGGGGCUUAACUCCGAAACUGCAUUCGAUACUGCCGUGCUUGAGGACUGGAGAGGAGACUGGAAUUUACGGUGUAGCGGUGAAAUGCGUAGAUAUCGUAAGGAAGACCAGUGGCGAAGGCGGGUCUCUGGACAGUUCC
rnacentral:rRNA from 1 species